GUGAGAAUCAUGAAUUAAUCUCUGGGGAAGAAAAAAGGAGAAGAGGAUAUGCUCUGACUCAUAUUCUACUUUUAAAUCUUCCAAACUGUGCAGUGAUGAGCUCCUGCCACUACAAGAUCUGAAGAAGAUAUCAUGAUGAUUUACUUCAACCUAAUAACUUCAGCAAAGGGGAUGGCUGCUCCUUCAAUCCUCAGAGUAUUUAAACCCACAAGUUGUGGAGGCCAGUACCAGAAACCAUGAAAAUUACUAGCAUGACUAAAAGGGGAAAAAUCAAGAAGGGACAGCUGUCUGAUCUAUGAGGAGAAAAAAAGUUAAAGGAGCAUAAUACUACCUAAGAAGUUAUCAGAUGGCCCUCCACUUUUCUCCAGUGUCCUCCUUGGCGGUGACGAGGAGGACCCAUCUGGCUCCAGCCUGCUGGACUGACCCAGGGAUUUCAGCCAUUCUACUGACCAGAGGGGAAGCAGGGAGGCUGCCAGGCAGAGGAAUGAGGACGAUAUCACAAGACUGAAAUUGGAAGUAUAAUCCAGUGUCAUCCUGAACGGAAUCAUGCAUAUUCAGGUUAUUGUGUCUAGUUUUGUACAUUGACUUUUCUGAAAUUUAAUAUUUCCAUCCAUUCACCACUUGAUUUAUGUGCCACCUUUCUCCCAGACUGAGAAUCAAAAUAGCUUUUAACUCCUAAUCUGCAUAUCUGAUGUAUUUUAGUAUGAUUUCAUUCCAACCAUGGCUACUUUUACUUCAGUCUUUGAAGGGGUCUUACUUCCAAAUGUACACUGGAUUGGAUACUAAACCAGAGGUGAAAAACCUAUACCCUUCCAGAUGUCAUAGUAUCCUUCAUUUCUGGCCAGUGACCAUGUUUAGUGAUGUGUAUGGGAGGAAGAGUACCACAACAUCUUGAGGACCACAGGCUCCUUCAACCUAACCUCAACACUGGAUUUAUACCAACUAUUUAGCAGCUUAUAGUCUUAUGGUUAGCAUUAAGGGGGGAAUCAAUGUAAUUGAAUAUUUCAAUUUAGAAUUUUUAAUUACAUAAUUAAUCUAAUAAUUAAUUAUAACAUAUUUCAUAUGUCAUAAUUAAUCAUUAGACCUUGAACUUUUGCAGGCUGGAAAGCAGUUCAAUUGAAAUUCUUUUAUAUUCAUUACAUUACACUCCAUCCUAGUAAAGAAUAUCCACAGGUGUAAAACACUGGAGCCACCAACUGUUCAAAGUGUGUAACAGUAACUCUGCUUUGUGUAUACAUAUAUACAUGGGUUUCCUGUCAACUCAUGGCGACCCCAUGAAUUUCAUGGGGUUUUCUUAGGCGACGAGUACUCAAGAGGUGGUUUUGCCAGUUGCUUCUUCUGAAAUAUAGCCUAGAGCAACCAGUAUUUGUUGGCAGUUUCCUAUUGAAGUAUUAACCCGGACAGAUCUGCUUAGUUUCAAAGAUCCGGUGGGAUCGGCUUUGCCACUUCAAAUUUUGAUUUUCAUUACAGAGACUGCUAGAUACAUACAUGCACAUAUGUAUGUAUAGUGGUACAAACAUUUAGCACCAGGCUUUGCUGUCUGAAAUACCAGUAUUGUGACUGAGUUAAUUAAAAGACAGUGUAA